AACUUUUAGCAACGGCUCUCUUGGCUCUCGCAUCGAUGAAGAACGCAGCGAAAUGCGAUAAGUAAUGUGAAUUGCAGAAUUCAGUGAAUCAUCGAAUCUUUGAACGCACCUUUCGCUCCUUGGUAUUCUGAGGAGCAUGCCUGCUUGAGUGUCAUGACAUUCUCAACUGCUUUGGCUUUUUACGGGCUGAAAUGAAGUUGGAAUUAGAGGAAUAAUUGCUGGCGUGACCUUUUUAGGUUGCCUGUUUGGUCCGCUUAAAGUGAUUGACUUUCCCGGAAUGAAGUAACACCAAUGUGAUUAUUAUUUAAGUUGGAAAAAGUUUGCAUAAGGAAAGAUGAAAUCUGCCUUGGAGGGAAAACCCCCUUGAUUAAACAAAUGACAAAUUUGACCUCAAAUCAGGUAGGACUACCCGCUGAACUUAAGCAUAUCAAUAAGCGGAGGCU
rnacentral:misc_RNA from 1 species